rnacentral:lncRNA from 1 species
GUACUAAAAUUACAUGAUAAACUGUAGCAAGCCAACAGGAGACGAUUAUAAUUCAAAAGCAUACCUGAGACUCCUGAAUUUCUUGUUUCUAUAGUUCGGCAGCAGGUAGAAAGCAGCAAUAUAUAUAGACAGAUAUAAGACGGGAUCCCGAUGGGAUUAGAAUUCGUGGCUGGUUAGACGUUCUCUCUUUAGAAAUAUCCGAGUCAUAGCUCGAAUGGGAAUGUCGCAUCAAGGA